AUCCAGUUGACGAGUCCAAAAUAGGACGAAACGCGUGUCCUGAAU
rnacentral:hammerhead_ribozyme from 1 species